AAAAUGCGGGGCCCUUGUUCAAAAGGUAUGAAUAAAUUCACGACAGCAAGAACAAAAGCAUGAAACCAAACUCCAGGCCCUCCUGCGCACAGAACCUGAGGGACUCUUGGCCGGCCAGUAGUUCGUACCUGUCUUCCAACUCAGGCUGCCGGUGUGGGUUGGUGAUCUGUGGACACCCUCAGUCCUCACACCAGUCUCCAAGCCACUCAGAGCUAGGCAAGCUCUGAGCCUUGCAUUCUGCAGAAUCCCGGGCCUAAGAUCCGGCCCCAUCUCGUCCACCAUGAGAACCGUGUCUGAGAGGGACGGGGAGAAGCACCGAGACUCAGUCAAGGGACCGUGGCUCUUCCAGCCCAGGCGCAUGCUGCCUCCAUCCAGAUGGCUGCAGCCACUCCAAAGCUUUGGAGAGUUCUGUGUUUUUCCUCUUCUAUUUUUAUUUCCUCAAAUCCGAGACCAAGAGAGAUCAGUGCCAGAGUCCUGGAGGGGUCUGAGCCAGGAGGAAUUGAUCCACAGGCAAGAAGAAAAACAUGUCCGAAGGAGGUCACUGUGAGUGUCCUUGUCAGGGAUAGACGGGCACCAACCCCAGUGUGGGCUGGGCCCUGACAAGGGCUGGGUCCUGUGAGGGAGGGUUGGUCCUGCCAUCAGAUGCCCCAGACUAGGGCUGGCCAGGGCCCCCUCUGCACUGCCCCACCCUGGAGGAGUUGUUUCCACUGACGCUUGUGUGAACAACUCCCCCUGGGGUUGUGAGGACCCAGCCCAGCAAACGUUUAAAGGUCCCAUUUGGUCUAUAGGGGCGCAAAGGCAGUCUGUGGCGCAGCUCUCAGGUUUGUGAGCGUUCAGUGAGUGAGAUCAAGUGUGAAGCACUUGUUAUGCCUUGAGAAGGGUCCUUGGCUCAGAGGGAGGGCUCAGAAGCUUUUACUGUCUUUUGCAAAGAUUCAGACCAGUCAUCCCAUCCUCCUUCCCAGGCACAUGUAGGAUAACUGGGGUGACAAGUGACUCUAUAAAGAAUUGAGGGCCUACAGAUAAUAACGCCAAGCACAUAAAACUCAGGUCUCAAAUUGUUGAAAUCAUCGGAUGGGGUGGGGGGAUUCUUAGUGGGAGGCCCCUGGAUUCCACUGCAGUCCCUGUUGUUUUAUUUUGCACCUCCUCUGUACCAGAUACUUUAUUCUUAGCGCAACCUGCCGUGUGUGGUGUAGCUUAGGUACUGUGGGAAGCAGAAUUCUAAGAGGGCCUCAAAGAUUUCUGCCCUCCAUAUAAUCUCCACCCCUUGAAUGAAUAUGGUGGCUAUUGCUCCCCAAAAUGAAGGGAUUCUGCCCAUGUAAUUAAGGUCCCUAAUCAAUUGACUUGGAGUUAAGCAAUAGGAGAUGAUCCUGGGUGGGUCUGACCUCAUCAGGUGAGCCCUUACAAGAAGUAAGAGAUAUUGUCCCACUAGCUUUUGAAGGACUCAUCAGGUGAGCCCUUGCAAGAAGUAAGAGAUAUUCUCCCACUGGCUUUGAAGGAUUCGCUGCCAAGUUGCAAGAGGGCCACAUGGAAAGGAACUGAGAGAAGCCUCAGGAGCUGGAAGUGACUUGGCUGACAGCCAGCAUGAAGAUGGGGGCCUCAGUCCUACAAUUCCGAGAGACUGAGUUUGGCCAAAACCUGAAUGAGCUUGGACAAAGACCCUGAGCUGCAGAUAAGAACACAGAGCUGACAUCUUGCAUUUAGCUUUUGUGGGAUCCUAAGCAGAGAACCCAGCGAGGCCAUACUUGCACUCCUGACCCAUGGAAAUUUUGAGAAUAAAUGGGUGAUGUUUUAAACCACUUAAGUCCAUCAUAACUGUUACAAUCAUAGGAAACUAAUACAGAUAGGUAAUUGCCAAUUACCAGAGUCUUUAAAAUUCUGCUGGUAAUAGGACUUGGACUUCUGAUUUUUGGCUGUGCCUAGUGUCACCCAGAAUAAAAACCUAUAGUUCCCAGUC
rnacentral:lncRNA from 10 species